rnacentral:rRNA from 1 species
GUGAACGCUGGCGGCGUGCCUAACGUAUGCAAAGUCGAGCGGAAACACUUCGGGUGUCGAGCGGGCGAAACGGGUGAAGUAACACGUUGGAAACCUGUCCCCAAAGUGGAGAAUAGCUCCGGGAAACCGGAAAUUAAUGCUCCAUGUGGUCUUCGGAUUAUAAAGCUUUUGCGCUUUGGGAGGGUUCCCGCGGUUGAUUAGCUUGUUGGUAGGGUAACGGCCUACCAAGGCGAUGAUCAAUAGCUGGUCUGAGAGGAUGUCCAGCCACACUGGAACCGAGACACGGUCCAGACUCCUACGGGAGGGCAGCAACGAGGAAUAGUGCGCAAUGGGGCGAAAGCCUGACGCUGCGACGCCGCGUGCAGGAUGACGGCCUUCGGGUUGUAAACUGCUUUUAUGUGGGAAGAUUAUGACGGUACCACAUGAAUAAGAGUUGGCUAACUCCGUGCCAGCAGCCGCGGUAAAUACGGAGAGAACUCAAGCGUUACCCGGAAUCACUGGGCGUAAAGCGUUGCGUAGGCGGUUUUCGCAAGUCGGAUCUUAAAGGCCAAGGCUCAACCUUGGAAACUGGGUACGAUACUACGAGACUAGAGGAUGGUAGAGGUGAGUGGAAUUGCUGGUGUAGGAGUGAAAUCCGUAGAUAUCAGCAGGAACACCAAUGGCGAAGGCAGCUCACUGGGCCAUUCCUGACGCUGAGGCACGAAAAGCGUAGGGAGCGAACCGGAUUAGAUACCCGGGUAGUCUACGCCGUAAACGAUGGAUACUGGCUGUUGGGAGUAUCGACCCUCUCGGUAGCGAAGCUAACGCGGUUUAAGUAUCCCGCCUGGGGGAGUACGGCCGCAAGGCUAAAAACUCAAAGGAAUUGACGGGGACCCGCACAAGCGGUGGAGCGUGUGGUUUUAAUUCGAGGCUACGCGAAGAAACCUUACCAAGGUUUGACAUCCUUGUCGCCGACUUAAGAAAUUAAGUCUUCAUUUAGUUGGACAAGUGACAGGUGAUGCAUGGCCGUCGUCAGCUCGUGUCGUGAGAUGUCAGGUUAAGUCCUUCAACGAGCGCAACCCUCGUGAAUAGUUGUAUAUGUCUAUUCAGACUGCCCUCGGUAACGGGGAGGAAGGAGGGGAUGAUGCCAGGUCAGCAUGUCCCCUUACACCUUGGGCUACACACACGCUACAAUGGCCGGUACAAUGGGCUGCUAAAUCGCAAGAUGGAGCUAACCCCACCAAAACCGGUCUCAGUUCGGAUUGUCGGCUGCAACUCGCCGGCAUGAAGCUGGAAUCGCUAGUAACCGUGGGUCAGCACACCACGGUGAAUACGUUCCCGGGUCUUGUACACACCGCCCGUCACAUCACGAAAGUUGGUAGCACCCGAAGCCUCAGCUUGCUGAGGUCCACGGUGAGACCAAUGAUUGGGGUG